CCACGCGAACAAGUGCGAGGCUCACCAAGAAUUCUCAACCUGUGCGCUCUAAUUAACGAGAUCCUCGCCCGAGUCAGCUGUUGUCUCUGUAAAAAAAAUUAGCGGGGAAUGAGUCGCUAGCUCAGUGAGUAAUAACACUUAACCAUAAUCGUUUUUAUUUGGGAACAAGUCAGAAAAUAUGCUAGUAUCUCAAAUAGAAAAUGACAUAAAAAUGCCCUUUCAGAAAUAAUAAAUAAUUUUCAGUCUCAUCAUACUUUUCUUGUAAUAUAAUACAAUUAACAGUUCAGUAAUAAGCUCAGUAACCACUGCAUAAUAUCAAUAUUCACAUUUUUGGGAGGUUUCAAUGAACGGAUCAUGUAUUUGGUAUAACUGUGGACUUCUUUGCAAGAAGUCAUAUAUAACGGUAGUCCCUACUCGAGGGAAAUCGGUAACGGUAUGCUAGUUCUACCUUCCCAUUAGCGAGGGCUAUAACUGUACUCUGUAAUCGGUAAAUACAAGGUGCACCAGGUCUAACGAACCCGCCGUUAGCUACGGGAUCCUUCAAUGUCUACUCUCAUUUAUACUUGUCUCUGUAAUCCGCAUAUACUCGUAGAAAAUAAUUUAAAACAAUAUAGGGCAUUUAGGUAUUUAUCAAAUUAUGUAAUUUUCUUUCGAUAACAGUAAAUUCAAGAAACGGUCAAACAGAUCUAGUGACAUAAAAAUAUUUAAAACCACGGUAUUUAUCUCAAAUAACUAUUUCGGUAUCAUAUCGAGUAAAAGACUUGUCCCACAUGCAACUCAAAAUAAUCGGUAACAUAUUCAUAUUAAAAAUUAUGUGUAAAUCAUGCAAGUUAUGAAAACACAAAUUGUGGUAAGAUUACUACUCACAGUACUCGUGCCGAAAUACCAAAUGCUUCACCUCGAGCAAUUCGUACAAAUUCCUCCAAUCAAUCUAUAAUUACAUAAUAUCAAUCUCAUGUUAAUUUCCUUAUUUAGGCUAAUUCAAAGCUAAUUUAGAAUACCCAAUCAUCGGGGUUCAUGUUUCGAUCUUAAUUUGUGGAUUUAUAUUUACCCACAUAUGAGUAAUUACUAAUUUAUCAACUCCAACCUAUUCAUAUAAUUUAUUACUCCAAAUUUCAUAAAGUUCUAUUGGUUCUUUAGGAAGAAAAUUCUCAAUUGUGUGAAUGAACUAGUGUAAUUUCUAUUACUCUGUAGAAUCUUCCAAUCAAGAGAAUCGAAAUUAAAAUCUACCAGAAGAAAAAGUUCAAGUAAUACCCGUAAGAGACAAUUUGUGCUUAAGAUUCCUCAACAGUUAUAACUAUGGCUCCAAUACACUGCACCCACUUCUUCCUCCUUCUUUUCUCUUUUCCUUCUUUCUUCCUCUGCUCU
rnacentral:lncRNA from 1 species